UACGUAGGGUGCAAGCGUUGUCCGGAAUUAUUGGGCGUAAAGAGCUCGUAGGCGGUCUGUCUCGUCUGCUGUGAAAACUCGGGGCUUAACCCCGGGCCUGCAGUGGGUACGGGCAGACUAGAGUGCGGUAGGGGAGACUGGAAUUCCUGGUGUAGCGGUGAAAUGCGCAGAUAUCAGGAGGAACACCGGUGGCGAAGGCGGGUCUCUGGGCCGUAACUGACGCUGAGGAGCGAAAGCAUGGGGAGCGAACAGG
rnacentral:rRNA from 1 species